ensembl:lncRNA
GGGGUGUCCUCCCCUCCCCUCCCCUGGGGCCCGCCCCCACCUCUGCCCCGCGCUAGGCAGGAGGGCGGGGCGCCCGGCGAGGGGCUCCGGCGCGGCGGCGGCUGUCACUCACGCACUCACGCGGGAGGAAUGCAGACGGCAGGGCUGCCCUGUGGUCACGUCUCCGCCCCACCGACGGAGGGCCGGGAGGAGGGGGACGCUGCUGCCUGGGCCUUUGAUGUUCCAGAGAAGAGAUGGUGAGAUGGCGCUGGGAGUCACUGCUGCUGUGGGGUGUGUGCUUGGGGGGAGCCCUGUGAUGUCACAUCAGGAGCCCAGAGAUGGCAGAUAUUUUUCCCCGAACAAUUUGAGGACCACAGGAACCAGGGAGGUCGCAGAACUAGGGAGGAGACAAGCCGUGGCAGAGCUGGGUGGUAGCCAGGAGGACAUGCUCCUGAGAGGGGUGGAGACAUCUGGGGACUCUCAACCCAGGAAGCAGAAAACCCUGCGUUUCAAGGAGGUUUACCAACCUGCACAGCCAGCACCCCAUCUGUCGCACCUGCCGCCCUCCCAACACACACUCAGUGGGUGGAGAUGACCUUCUCCUGCAGUCUCAUGGGCUUCCCCUGGCUGCCAGGCCUUCAAGUCAGAGAGGACAGGGCAAGAAAAAGGCCCUGGAGGCAGGAGGGGUCCUGGGGUGAGAACCAAUAGAGGGGAGGUUGCCAGGGAGGAAAGGACACUGCGGGUGUGCCUCGGGUGUGUGCUCCUGUUCACUGGGCGCUGUUCCCAUGGGGAUGGUCAGCCAGCCGAGGCCCCUGCUUCAUCACUUGCUGUCUGCUGGAGAACAUCAAACAGUUCGGGACUGGGUCCGUCUUGGUCAUCUUUCGCCCUUGAUUCUGAAUUUCUCUUAUUUUAGCUGUAUGUCCUCCUACCUCAUCUUGGAGAGAAGAUUCUAGAGACCAUGGAGAAAAGGAGAAAAAACGUUCUUCCUAAAUAUCCCUCUUAACCUUUCUUCACCAUUUAACACCCAUACCUACGUCUCUGUCCAGGCUUUCAUCUUUUCUUACCCAAAAAUUAUUUCAACAGGACCCCUGAAAAGUCCCCCCAGACUCCUUAUUUCCCUCUAACCUAUUCCCCAGAACUUCCAUUGUCGUCUUGCUAAUGUGAGGAUGUAACCAUGCCGUGUCUCUGUUCAGCACCCUUCAAUGCAGUACUGCCCUUAGAGCCAGCAAGAGGGCCCCCUGCUCCAGGACCCUCAAAAGAUGAAUACGACACUGGUGCAACGUUUGCUGAAACACGCUUGGAUGCCUAGAUGAUGCAGGAUCUGGUCCUGAGUGCUGCCUGGCACAACCCAGAACUUUAAACAUCUGCUCUUGUGAUUAACACGGAUCCAGGAUGGUCUUGCUCUAAGAUUGUGAAGCAAAAAGCAGCUGUGUCUGUAUGCCAUCCCAACGUUACUCUACGAGUGAUGUCAGUGAACGCUGUGCAAGUGCUCAGGCGAAAUGAAAAGGAAAUGGAUGUACUUGCUAAAUCCUUCCUUGCAGCUAGCAUACAUGCAAU